CAGCCGCCGCGGGAAUACGUAGGUGGCAAGCGUUGUCCGGAAUUAUUGGGCGUAAAGGGCUCGCAGGCGGUUUCUUAAGUCAGGGGUGAAAUCCCCCGGCUCAACCGGGGAGGGUCAUUGGAAACUGGGAAACUUGAGUGCAGAAGAGGAGAGUGGAAUUCCACGUGUAGCGGUGAAAUGCGUAGAGAUGUGGAGGAACACCAGUGGCGAAGGCGACUCUCUGGUCUGUAACUGACGCUGAGGAGCGAAAGCGUGGGGAGCGAACAGGAUUAGAUACCCCUGUAGUCCCUGUCUCUUAUAC
rnacentral:rRNA from 1 species